CGAAUGGCUCAUUAAAUCAGUUAUCGUUUAUUUGAUAGUACCUUACUACAUGGAUAACCGUGGUAAUUCUAGAGCUAAUACAUGCUUAAAAGCCCCAACUUCUGGAAGGGGUGUAUUUAUUAGAUAAAAAACCAACGUGGGAAACCACUCCUUUGGUGAUUCAUAAUAACUUCUCGAAUCGCAUGGCCUUGUGCCGGCGAUGCUUCAUUCAAAUAUCUGCCCUAUCAACUUUCGAUGG
rnacentral:rRNA from 1 species